AAUAGAUACCCAGGUAGUCCACGCCGUAAACGAUGAGUGCUAAGUGUUAGAGGGUUUCCGCCCCUUAGUGCUGCAGCUAACGCAUUAAGCACUCCGCCUGGGGAGUACGGUCGCAAGACUGAAACUCAAAGGAAUUGACGGGGGCCCGCACAAGCGGUGGAGCAUGUGGUUUAAUUCGAAGCAACGCGAAGAACCUUACCAGGUCUUGACAUCCCACUGACCGGUAUAGAGAUAUACCUUUCCCUUCGGGGACAGUGGUGACAGGUGGUGCAUGGUUGUCGUCAGCUCGUGUCGUGAGAUGUUGGGUUAAGUCCCGCAACGAGCGCAACCCUUGAUCUUAGUUGCCAGCAUUUAGUUGGGCACUCUAAGGUGACUGCCGGUGACAAACCGGAGGAAGGUGGGGAUGACGUCAAAUCAUCAUGCCCCUUAUGACCUGGGCUACACACGUGCUACAAUGGAUGGUACAAAGGGCUGCAAGACUGCGAAGUCAAGCCAAUCCCAUAAAACCAUUCUCAGUUCGGAUUGCAGG
rnacentral:rRNA from 1 species